UACGUAGGGAGCGAGCGUUGUCCGGAAUUACUGGGCAUAAAGGGUGCGUAGGCGGCAUGGCAAGUCAGAUGUGAAAUCCCCGGGCUUAACUCGGGUGGUGCAUUUGAAACUGCUGUGCUUGAGUGCAGGAGAGGAAAGCGGAAUUCCUAGUGUAGCGGUGAAAUGCGUAGAUAUUAGGAGGAACACCAGUGGCGAAGGCGGCUUUCUGGACUGCAACUGACGCUGAGGCACGAAAGCGUGGGGAGCAAACAGGAUUA
rnacentral:rRNA from 1 species